UGAGGGGGGCUGCUCCUAGUACGAGAGGACCGGAGUGGACGCAUCACUGGUGUUCGGGUUGUCAUGCCAAUGGCACUGCCCGGUAGCUAAAUGCGGAAGAGAUAAGUGCUGAAAGCAUCUAAGCACGAAACUUGCCCCGAGAUGAGUUCUCCCUGACUCCUUGAGAGUCCUGAAGGAACGUUGAAGACGACGACGUUGAUAGGCCGGGUGUGUAAGCGCAGCGAUGCGUUGAGCUAACCGGUACUAAUGAACCGUGAGGCUCAACCUUACAACGCCGAAGGUGUUU
rnacentral:rRNA from 1 species